AUGGCGUUCAUGCGCACCUCCUCCAAUGCAUCCUCUGGCAUGGGAGUUGCUCCUGAUAUCAGGGAGACAUUCCUGGAGCUUCAGAUGAAGAAGGCAUUUCGCUAUGUCAUCUUCAAAAUAGAAGAAAAGCAAAAGCAGGUUGUUGUGGAGAAGACGGGGGCUACAACUGAGAGUUAUGAUGAUUUCCUGGCUUGUCUCCCAGAGAAUGACUGCAGAUAUGCCCUUUAUGAUUUUGACUUUGUUACUGGGGAGAAUGUGCAGAAAAGCAAGAUUUUCUUCAUUGCCUGGUCCCCUGACACAUCCCGCAUCCGCGCCAAGAUGCUGUACUCCACCUCCAAGGACCGCAUCAAGCAGGAGCUCGACGGGUUCCACUACGAGAUCCAGGCAACUGACCCGACCGAGGUGGAGCUCGAUGUCCUCCGCGACCGGGCGCACUAG
rnacentral:rRNA from 1 species